ensembl:lncRNA
GGCUGCAGUCAGAGCAUUGUAAGGGUGUCAUGGUCUGGUUGGGCACCUGCAGGUCUCAGACAGCGGCUCCUCCUCCUUUAGGCGGAGUCCGGUUGCCCCUCCCUGGCUGACCACCUGUGAGCAAUCGUGCCAGCGGUAUAUCAGACCUGCGCUCUCAACCACUCAUCGCCUGAGUAUCUCCUAUUCCCAUCGAUAGCACCCGGAGUGGAGAUCUUGUUCCCCUCGCUCCCGUCCUCCUGGACCUGGGCCGCCAGCUGCUCACACAACGUGGCCGGCCGACCCACUGCUCACCUGCCUGCCUCCCCACGCCUCGACCGCUUCCGGGUUUUCCGCUCCACCUGUCCCCUCCAUCUGAAACCAAGUAAGGCAAUUCAAUUCAACUGCGGAGGAUUAUUGGUUGUCUGCUGGAUCCCUCUGAUCGUGAUCUCCUCUUGUUCCAGUGCCCCGGCCCCUACCUAGUCCUGUUUCUACCUCCCCGCUGUCCCCGCUGUUCAGCCGUCUCCUAGAGGUGUCUAGGUCGCCCUCAUUUUCACAGACUAAUCCUACGCGCCACUAGUGUGGUGGCGUCGCUUUGUGUUUCACAUUUGUUUUCCUGUGGGC